rnacentral:rRNA from 1 species
AUUGCAAUUAUAUUUCGUUUCAUCUGAUAAAAUUUUAUUUACUUUAGAAUAUGUUAUUUUAAGAGUUUUAAUAAAUUUAAGAUAAUUAGCAUUAUUUAUUUUCAAUAUAUUUAUUUUAAUCAAAAUUUAAAAUAAUUUUUAUGUAUAUUUAUCUUUUGAACUUUUACAUAGUUAUUAGAGUUAUGAUUUUUUUUUCAUUUAAUAAAAAUUUAGUUAUUUUAGAUUGUGUUAUUUUAUGGGGUUAUAAUAAGAUUUAAGGUAAUUAGGAUUAUUUAGCUAGGUUAAAUGUUACUUUGUAUAAUUUAGUGAAGUUAUUAACUUAAAUUUUUUUAAGGAUUUUUUUUGGUGUAGUUUUAAUUAUGGGUUGUUCAUGCAGUUACAUUUAAUUUUGUGGGUUUAUUUGUAUAGUACUCAAAUUAGUUCUCCAUCUAUAUUGGACUUAAUUUUUUUACGAUAGAGUUUUAGGAUGAAAGUGAGAGAAUGUUGUUUAAUGGUACCUUCUUAAAAUCUUUGUUUGCCAAAAAAUUAUGGAAUAAUAAGGGAAUGCAUUCUAGAAUUUGAUAUUUGUUUGAAUGCAUCUUUGUUUUAUUUAUGCUUGCAAUUAUUUACUUUUUGAAAAUUGAGAUUUUUAAAUUUGGUAGAGUACUCUGAAUUAAGAAAAUAUUCUACUAAUUUUUGAUUAACAUUGUUUAAAGACAUUUGUUGAAUUAUGUAUAUGUUGUUGAAUUUGUUUGGUUUGUAAAAAUUGAAAGUUAUAUUUGAUGGAUGUGUCUAAUUAUAGCUAAAAUUCUACCAAUUUUUUUUAAAUUAAUAAUUUAAGUGGUAUUCUUGGUUGAAUUUUAGGUUGUUUGUGAUAAAAUAAUUUUGAGUCAUCAUUUUAUGAAUGUAUGAUAAGGAUAACAGUAAACGGGGGGAUUAAAACCUGAGUUCUUUAAGGGUGUUGAUUAAUUUGUUGCAUAUGUGUUUAACAUAAAACCUUUUAAGUCUCAAAGGGUAUCUAGAUGUCCAUGCUAUAAGUGUCAACUAACUAAAUAGUUAGGAGCUUCAAAUAUAAUUCUUCACUUUUAUCGUAACGAGUUCAAGGAUGGGUAUUGGGUGUAAACUGAAAACGGAGAAGUUGAUAAGAAGAAAAUCAAUUGGUCUGCACUGAUUGCCAAUAAGUUUGAGGGCCAGUCAAGGAGGGUGAACUUGGUUAGAGAAGUGAACAUAGAAGAGGUGAAUUUGGAGAAUAACUAAGAGAGAUACAAUGAGAUGGUAUUUAAUGCAAUCAGUGUUAAUGUUAUCGAAAAAGUUGAAGAAGAGUCUAACCCAGAAACAAAGAGAUUUUAUGAUUUGUUAGAAUCUACUGCACAACCACUGUUUGAGGGGUAUAUUCACUCAAAAUUGUGUGUCUGUAUUAGAAUGAUGAGUAUUAAGUCUACGUCAGAUCACACCAAGCAUUGUUGUCAAACUUGUGAGUUAACUUGUAAACUCGUAGGUAGUGGAAUCAAGUUAACUCGAACAUAAACUCGGUCUUAACUAAACUAAACCUAAACUCGCAAGCCGAGGUGCGAGUUAACGAGUUUGAAUUGUUGCCCAGUUUUGGCUAAAAAUGACAUCAUUUAGCCCCAAAAAAGAGAGAAAAGCGUUUUUUCAUUAGGGUUUUUGUCCAGAACACUCACCCCUUUCCCCUCUCACUCUCUGCACUGUUUCUAAGUCUCUUUAGUCACAAAUCUCAUGCUCUCUAUGUUCUUCUGUCGUCUGCCGUUCACCCUCGUGCUACUGUCUGACAUGCUAUUUUUGUUCACCUGCUUCUCCUAGCAUUGUUCUACACGCCUGCCCAGUGCUGGAAGGUCAAGGAAGUUGGUGACCUGAUGAUAGGGGAGCCGGCGACCAAAGCCCCGGUGAACGGCGGCCAUAACUAUAACGGUCCUAAGGUAGCGAAAUUCUUUGUCGGGUAAGUUCCGACCCGCACGAAAGGCGUAACGAUCUGGGCACUGUCUCGGAGAGAGGCUCGGUGAAAUAGACAUGUCUGUGAAGAUGCGMACUACCUCCACCUGGACAGAAAGACCCUAUGAAGCUUCACUGUUCCCUGGGAUUGGCUUUGGGCUUUUCCUGCGCAGCUUAGGUGGAAGGCGAAAAAGGCCUCCUUCUAGGGGGGCCCGAGCCAUCAAUGAGAUACCACUAUGGAAGAGCUAGAAUUCUAACCUUGUGCCAGGACCUACGGGCCAAGGGACAGUCUCAGGUAGAUAGUUUCUAUGGGGUGUAUGCCUCCCAAAAGGUAACGGAGGCGUGCAAAGGUUUCCUCGGGCCAGACGGAGAUUGGCCCUCAAGUGCAAAGGCAUAAGGGAGCUUGACUGCAAGACCCACCCGUUGAGAGCAGGGAUGAAAGUCGGCCUUAGUGAUCCGACGGUGCCGAGUGGAAGGGUCGUCGCUCAACGGAUAAAAGUUACUCUAGGGAUAAUAGGCUGAUCUUCCCCAAGAGUUAGUUCAUAUCGACAGGAUGGUUUGGCACCUCGAUGUCUGCUCUUCACCACCUGGGGCUGUAGUAUGUUCCAAGGAUUGGGCUGUUCGUCCAUUAAAGCGGUACAUGAGCUGGGUUCAGAACGUCGUGAGACAGUUCGGUCCAUAUCCGGUGUGGGCAUUUUCCCUCUCUUUUUCUUUUGCUCUAUGUUGUGUUUUGCCUCACGCAUUUGCUUCCUGCUGUUCUCACUUCUCCGCUAUUCUCCUACUUUUCCUACCUCUGCUGUGUUCGCACCUUUAUCUCUGCCUCUUUGUAUCUCUAAUUUGCUUUGCUUCACGCCUCCAAGCUCUGCUCUGCCCAACUGCCUCCAUUCUCUAUCGCAACUGACUGCUUGACCAUCAUUUUCUUUAACUGUGUUGUUCGGUCGCUAUAUUCAAGCUUCUAAUUUGUAGCAGCUGCCACUAGCUAGUAAGUAUACAAGUUGGUGAAGCAUUAGAAAGUUUGUUACAGGUAUUUUUUUUUAAAAUAUUAUUACUUUUA